UUGACUUAUUCAGAUAAGACCAACAGUGGCUCAGUGUUGACUUAUUCAGAUAAGACCAACAGAGACUCAGUGUUGACUUAUUCAGAUAAGACCAACAGUGGCUCAGUGUUGACUUAUUCAGGUAAGACCAACAGAGACUCAGUGUUGACUUAUUCAGAUAAGACCAACAGAGACUCAGUGUUGACUUAUUCAGAUAAACUGCUGCCCCAAAGGAAGAGUCUAAAACAUUUGUUGUAAUUCCAAUAACUUAUUGCAAUGGCACACAAAAUUAUAAUUAAGGCACAAUCAAAAAUCAAAAAUAAUACAAAAUGAAUAUACCAAAAAAAAACGUUAAAAACUUUAACGUUUUAAAGCCACAAGCAAAUUAAUUAGAAAUAUAUUUCAACCUGGGUAAAAAUCUAUCCUUGCGAGCCACUGAUCUCGCUGUACGGAAGAGCAUAUUUAUUUAAUCUCGCAAGAUCCGUGUGGCUUCUGAAACGAGGGAAUGUCCAGCGGAGAAACAUCAGACGAGCGCACAGCAUUUCUUACACAUUAUGGCAAAGAACGAGGUUAAUACUUUUAAAAAACUCAAUAUGAUUUACAUUUUCAAGGCUAACGGUUUCUCUGAAAGAGCCAUCAUUGAACAAAUGCCCCCCCCCCCCCCAAAACACAAUGUGCACAAAAACAUUACUCUACUAAAAGUGUACACAUUAAUUAACAUAACUAGGAUUCUCUGUUGUUCUGUAUCAGUAGUAUCAAAAUAGAAGGAGAAAUUAGUUAGAGAAUUUAGAGGAGUUAGAGGAUUUAGAGAGCCGAUGGGGAUUAGAGUUAGAGGAUUUAGAGGAGUUAGAGGCCCUAUGGGGAUUAGAGUUAGAGGAUUUAGAGGAGUAAGAGGCCCUAUGGGGAUUAGAGUUAGAGGAUUUAGAGGAGUAAGAGGCCCUAUGGGGAUUAGAGUUAGAGGAUUUAGAGGAGUUAGAGGAUUUAGAGCAUUUAGAGGAGUUAGAGACCCUAUGGGGAUUAGAGUUAGAGGAUUUAGAGAGCCGAUGGGGAUUAGAGUUAGAGGAUUUAGAGGAGUUAGAGGCCCUAUGGGGAUUAGAGUUAGAGGAUUUAGAGGAGUAAGAGGCCCUAUGGGGAUUAGAGUUAGAGGAUUUAGAGGAGUAAGAGGCCCUAUGGGGAUUAGAGUUAGAGGAGUUAGAGGAUUUAGAGCAUUUAGAGGAGUUAGAGGCUCUAUGGGGAUUAGAGUUAGAGGAUUUAGAGGAGUUAGAGGCCCUAUGGGGAUUAGAGUUAGAGGAUUUAGAGGAGUUAGAGGCCCUAUGGGGAUUAGAGUUAGUGGAUUUAGAGAGGCUAUGGGGAUUAGAGUUAGAGGAUUUAGAGGAUUUAAAGGUGUUAGAGGAUUUAGAGGAUUUAGAGGAGUUAGAAGAUUUAGAGGAUUUAGAGGAUUUAGAGGAGUGGGCCGCUAUCUUGGAGGAACAGUAAGUACUACUGUGAAGCUCAUGUCUACAGGGCAGGAGAAGACAUGAGCCUCACGUCAAUUAGCGUCAUCAUUUGUUUUGUUGUUAGGCCUGAUCAGGUUUGAUAGCCUGUACAUUACAUUUAAUGGAGUCAAAAUGCCAGAAUUACAUGCAAUUGUCCAAUUUUCAUAUUCUGAAUCCUCACCCAGACUUUUAUGGGGAGGUAGGGAGGGAGGGAGGG
ensembl:lncRNA